rnacentral:rRNA from 1 species
CGGCAGCUACACAUGCAGUCGAGCGGUAGAGAGGUGCUUGCACCUCUUGAGAGCGGCGGACGGGUGAGUAAUGCCUAGGAAUCUGCCUGGUAGUGGGGGAUAACGCUCGGAAACGGACGCUAAUACCGCAUACGUCCUACGGGAGAAAGCAGGGGACCUUCGGGCCUUGCGCUAUCAGAUGAGCCUAGGUCGGAUUAGCUAGUUGGUGAGGUAAUGGCUCACCAAGGCGACGAUCCGUAACUGGUCUGAGAGGAUGAUCAGUCACACUGGAACUGAGACACGGUCCAGACUCCUACGGGAGGCAGCAGUGGGGAAUAUUGGACAAUGGGCGAAAGCCUGAUCCAGCCAUGCCGCGUGUGUGAAGAAGGUCUUCGGAUUGUAAAGCACUUUAAGUUGGGAGGAAGGGCAUUAACCUAAUACGUUAGUGUUUUGACGUUACCGACAGAAUAAGCACCGGCUAACUCUGUGCCAGCAGCCGCGGUAAUACAGAGGGUGCAAGCGUUAAUCGGAAUUACUGGGCGUAAAGCGCGCGUAGGUGGUUCGUUAAGUUGGAUGUGAAAUCCCCGGGCUCAACCUGGGAACUGCAUUCAAAACUGUCGAGCUAGAGUAUGGUAGAGGGUGGUGGAAUUUCCUGUGUAGCGGUGAAAUGCGUAGAUAUAGGAAGGAACACCAGUGGCGAAGGCGACCACCUGGACUGAUACUGACACUGAGGUGCG